rnacentral:rRNA from 1 species
UACGUAGGGGCCUAGCGUUGUCCGGAUUUAUUGGGCGUAAAGAGCUCGUAGGCGGCUUGUCGCGUCGGAUGUGAAAGCCCGGGGCUUAACUCCGGGUCUGCAUUCGAUACGGGCAGGCUAGAGUUCGGUAGGGGAGAUCGGAAUUCCUGGUGUAGCGGUGAAAUGCGCAGAUAUCAGGAGGAACACCGGUGGCGAAGGCGGAUCUCUGGGCCGAUACUGACGCUGAGGAGCGAAAGCGUGGGGAGCGAACAGG